CUCAUGUAGCCAGCUUUCCACGAGGUCUCUACACAAUUGCACAUCAGUUCAAGCAACUGCAUUAGCACAGGAGUGCCGAGUCGUUCCAAAGAGAGAAGAGUGAGCCAAUAGCUACAGCUGGCAGCCAGGGAAGGGAAAAUGUGCUCUGAGCACUCAGUGAGUCACCCAAACAGACAGGAGGAAGCAUGUGCCAAUUGAGCCUGGAGGCUGCGCCAGAGCUCACACACUCAGCAAGGUCAGGAUUUGAAUAGAAGCUCUCUCACUCUUUCCACCGCCAGACUGUACCAAAUAAUGACUACUCCUGAAGCCUGGGUUCCAGCAGGAGAAGACACAUGGAGUGGAGCUGGGCAGAUGUCCAGCAGCCAUAGCCAACUCAUAGCCAAAGACCACAUUAUGAGUAAGGAAUAAAUGUUUGUUGUUUCAG
rnacentral:lncRNA from 1 species